rnacentral:lncRNA from 1 species
GCCUGCGGACCUAUUUAAAACUUUGUGAUACAUUAUUUUUAUUUGUGAAAUAAUAAUUUUCAGAAAAUUUAUCAUAUAGAUGAUCAAAGAGUCAAUUAAAUUUGUUUCUAACAUUUAAACAAGUUGGUAUCGAAAUUUAUUGUUGUAGCCCAAUUCAAAAAGUUAGAAGAACCAAUUUAGCCACACACUUGAACAUCAAAUGUGACGGCACUUAAACAACUAACUACCUCCUCCUCCUCCUCCUCCUCCUAAUAAUUCUGGGGCGACCGGUUUUUACAGACAUUUUCAGCGAUUGGGUGACGUGACUUUGUCUACAUCAGCUAUUGAUGAUAAAAAAAAAAAAACUUCUUCAACAUAUCACGCCUCUUCUUUUCUCUUGCCAAACACUUUCCUCUUCUCUCUGUGCUUAUCAAAUCCACCUUGUCGCUACUCCAAUCCGCCACUGCCACUGCCACUGCCACUGCCGCCGCUCCCUUCCUUCUCUCUUCUAGCAGCCUUAAGGUAUGUAUACUAUUUGAGAGAUUUCCCAUGUCGCCCUAGAUUUAGAAUAUCAAAUUCCCAAAACCCUAAAAAAAAAUUAGAUUUAUACAAAUCUGGGUGUGAUAGAUUUAGAUUCUUGUUUUGGGUGUAACUUUUGUUAUGGAGUAUUUUAUAUGGAUUUUCCUCUUGGGUUUUCCGUUUAUGGUUGAAUUAAUUUGCUCAACAAUAUCCUGCCUUUAUGGUGUGCACUUUUGGUGUUUGAUAAAUUGUCUCAAAGAUGUUCAAGUGCUUUAAAACUAAUUUUCCUCAAAUUUUCAAACAUGAAUUCCAAAUUUUCACCUUUGUUUUUUUUAACAAUUUAGUGAUCAGGAAGGUUAUAUUAGCUUAUUUUGACUAUCCCUGCCUUACUGACUAUCCAUUUGAGAAACUUAUUUAUUUAGAUUAAUUGUAUGUUUUAUUUUACUGCAUUUUCUUUUGUGUAGAGUUCUCAAGAUGACUAUUUUAUAAGCGUACUCAAUAACCCAUAUCAAGUCGAACAUCAAGUUGGACUACACGAGACAUGGUGCAAUAGAUCUCAAUUUACAGGUUUGUCACUAAUUUAUUUGAAUAAAUCAAAUUCUUAGAGGUUUUAAUUUAUACCAUAAUUAUUAUUAUUUUAAACAUUUUAGGCGGGAGACUUCUCCACCAACGCAAAUCUGCAAUCAUCACAUGUUAAUGACUUUUCAUUUGCCACAAAUCAUAAUGUCUAUUACGGAGGGGGUUUCCUCAUUCAUUUUCAGGUAUAAUAUCUUAUUUCACUACUUUCUCUUUCAAUUUGUGGUGUCUUAUUGGAUGUUAUUUGUUUCUAAAAACUACCAUUUUAUUUUUCUUGUUGCAGGAUUAUUAUAAUCCAUAUUGAAGAAGUGGUGAAGGAUGUGAUCCGAACAAUAGGAGCGGAUAAUAUGGUGGGAUUACUUGAUGAAUAACAUGGGGACGAUGCAUUUGUUGUAGUUCUAUAAAUGUGUGAUACAUUUAUUUUACUUGUAGUUUGUAAAAAUUGUUACAUGUGUAUGUUAAGAAUAUUCAAGGGAAAGCAUCUUUUUAGCAAGGGAAAGCAGUUAUAUUGAUAAUUUUUUGGGCAUAUUGCUGCUAUUAUGAACUGUGUUGGGGCAGUUAGAGUUGCACAAUAAUGUUGGACUUUUUGAUGUAGAACUUAAGAAGGAAUAUUGCUGCUAUUUCCAUGCCUUAUUUUUUAUUUUUUCCCCCUUUUAAUGUAGAACUUUAAGGAACAGUUAGUUUUAUUAUAGCUUUCUCAUACGAUUUUGGGAUGAAUUCCUUUUUAAUAAGCUCAUAUUACAGAAAAAAAUUCAAAUGAGGCAUCAAGACCCAUUAUCAAUUGCCUUUUAAAACAACUAAAACUGCUUGAAUCAAGACCCAAUUGAUA